ACACGACUACAUUAGAUACCCGGGUAGUCCUAGCCGUAAACGAUACUCGCUAGGUGUCGGCCACGGUGCGACCGUUGUCGGUGCCGUAGGGAAGCCGUGAAGCGAGCCACCUGGGAAGUACGGCCGCAAGGCUGAAACUUAAAGGAAUUGGCGGGGGAGCACAACAACGGGUGGAGCUUGCGGUUUAAUUGGAUUCAACGCCGGGAAUCUUACCGGGACCGACAGCAACAUGAAGGCCAAGCUGAAGACUUUGCCGGAUUAGCUG
rnacentral:rRNA from 1 species